CCUACGGGGGGCAGCAGUGGGGGAUAUUGCGCAAUGGGGGGAACCCUGAUGCAGCGACGCCGCGUGGGUGAAGAAGCGCCUCGGCGCGUAAAGCCCUGUCAGCAGGGAAGAAAAUGACGGUACCUGAGGAAGAAGCCCCGGCUAACUACGUGCCAGCAGCCGCGGUAAUACGUAUGGUGCAAGCGUUAUCCGGAUUUACUGGGUGUAAAGGGAGCGCAGGCGGUUCUGCAAGUCUGAUGUGAAAGCCCGGGGCUUAACCGCGGGACUGCAUUGGAAACUGCGGGACUGGAGUGUCGGAGGGGGAA
rnacentral:rRNA from 1 species